rnacentral:rRNA from 1 species
UACGUAGGGUGCAGGCGUUAAUCGGAAUUACUGGGCGUAAAGCGUGCGCAGGCGGCUCCUUAAGUCAGAUGUGAAAUCCCCGGGCUUAACCUGGGAACUGCGUUUGAAACUGAGGGGCUAGAGUGUGGAAGAGGGGGGUGGAAUUCCAGGUGUAGCAGUGAAAUGCGUAGAGAUCUGGAGGAACACCGAUGGCGAAGGCAGCCCCCCGGGCUAACACUGACGCUCAUGCACGAAAGCGUGGGGAGCAAACAGG